rnacentral:rRNA from 1 species
UGGGGAAUAUUGCACAAUGGGCGCAAGCCUGAUGCAGCCAUGCCGCGUGUAUGAAGAAGGCCUUCGGGUUGUAAAGUACUUUCAGCGGGGAGGAAGGUGUUGUGGUUAAUAACCGCAGCAAUUGACGUUACCCGCAGAAGAAGCACCGGCUAACUCCGUGCCAGCAGCCGCGGUAAUACGGAGGGUGCAAGCGUUAAUCGGAAUUACUGGGCGUAAAGCGCACGCAGGCGGUCUGUCAAGUCGGAUGUGAAAUCCCCGGGCUCAACCUGGGAACUGCAUUCGAAACUGGCAGGCUAGAGUCUUGUAGAGGGGGGUAGAAUUCCAGGUGUAGCGGUGAAAUGCGUAGAGAUCUGGAGGAAUACCGGUGGCGAAGGCGGCCCCUGGACAAAGACUGACGCUCAGGUGCGAAAGCGUGGGGAGCAAACA